rnacentral:rRNA from 1 species
UACGUAGGGUGCGAGCGUUAAUCGGAAUUACUGGGCGUAAAGUGUGCGCAGGCGGUCGUUCAAGUCGCGUGUGAAAGCCCCCGGCUCAACUGGGGAGGGUCACGCGAUACUGAUCGACUCGAAGGCAGGAGAGGGAAGUGGAAUUCCCGGUGUAGUGGUGAAAUGCGUAGAUAUCGGGAGGAACACCAGUGGCGAAGGCGACUUCCUGGCCUGUUCUUGACGCUGAGGCGCGAAAGCUAGGGGAGCAAACGGG